rnacentral:rRNA from 1 species
UACGUAGGUGGCAAGCGUUGUCCGGAAUUAUUGGGCGUAAAGCGCACGUAGGCGGCUUUGCAAGUUAGAGGUGAAAGCCCGGGGCUCAACCCCGGAAUUGCCUUUAAAACUGCAUCGCUAGAAUUGUGGAGAGGUAAGUGGAAUUCCGAGUGUAGAGGUGAAAUUCGUAGAUAUUCGGAAGAACACCAGUGGCGAAGGCGACUUACUGGACACAUAUUGACGCUGAGGUGCGAAAGCGUGGGGAGCAAACAGG